GGGCGUGUCCUCUCCCGGAAAUGGCUUCCCUCCACGCCCUGGGACUGCGCGCCGCUGACUUCCGAAGUUCAGCAUGAGCGUCCUUGCGAGGGUAGGCGUGGGCCCGCUGUGCGUCGCCGCUCGCGCAGUCAUGCCCUGUUUUUGGAGAGGGAAAUACUUCAGCUCCGGGAGAGAGCCAGUAGAAAACCAGGUGACACCAAUGCUGCGGCAUCUUAUAUACAAAAUCAAAGCAACUGGCCCCAUCACUGUGGCUGAGUACAUGAAGGAGGUCUUGACCAACCCCGCCAAGGGAUAUUACGUGUACCGUGACAUGCUGGGAGAAAAAGGAGAUUUCAUUACUUCACCGGAAAUAAGUCAGAUCUUUGGGGAGCUGCUAGGUAUAUGGUUCAUUAGUGAGUGGAUGGCCACUGGAAAAAAUGCAGCCUUCCAGCUGGUGGAACUGGGCCCAGGCAGGGGUACCCUCUUGGGAGAUGUUUUGAGGGUGUUCAGUCAGCUGGGAUCUGUGCUGAAAAACUGUGACAUUUCAGUACAUCUGGUAGAGGUGAGCGAGAAACUGAGUGAGGUUCAAGCAUCGGCACUGAUGGAAGAGAAGGUCCCUCUAGAGCGAGACCCUGGAUCCUCUGUGUACAUGAAAGGUGUCACUAAAUCUGGAAUUCCAAUUUCAUGGUACCGAGACCUGCAAGAUGUUCCAGAAGGGUACGGCUUUUACCUUGCACAUGAAUUUUUCGAUGUUCUUCCUGUGCAUAAGUUCCAGAAAACACCGCAAGGAUGGCGCGAAGUAUUCGUCGAUAUCGAUCCCCAGGCUUCUGAUAAACUGCGGUUUGUUUUGGCGCCGUGUGUCACCCCCGCGGAAGUCUUCAUACAACCCGAUGAAACGAGGGAUCACGUGGAAGUGUGUCCUGAAGCCGGUGUGACGAUUCAGGAGCUUUCGCAGCGCAUUGCGCGGACUGGAGGGGCUGCCCUGAUCGCCGACUACGGUCACGACGGGACUAAGACGGACACCUUCAGAGGAUUUUGUGGCCAUAAGCUUCAUGACGUCCUUGUCGCCCCGGGAACCGCAGACCUAACAGCCGAUGUGGACUUCAGUUAUUUGCGCAGAAUGGCAGAGGGAAAAGUAGCUUCUCUGGGUCCAAUAAAACAACAGACGUUUUUAAAAAACAUGGGGAUUGAUGUCCGACUGAAGGUUCUUUUAGACAAAUCAGACGAGCCAUCCAGGCAGCAGUUACUUCAGGGGUACGAUAUGUUGAUGAAUCCUAAGAAGAUGGGAGAAAGAUUUCACUUUUUUGCCUUGCUGCCUCAUCAGAGACUUCAUGGUGGAAGCCAUCCGACGAAUGCAUGUCAGUCAAAACCUUCUCUGUCGCCUGUAGCUGGGUUUGGUGAACUUGCCUGGAGGUGAUACCUCAGUGUGGACGUUUUACCCCUAAAUCUGCCUACGAAAGCAAAACAAGGGAACACAUUCAUGUAUCACAGUUUCCCCUCUGUGCCUUCUCACGAUGAACUACAGUGGUGGUGCCACGGACGCCUUACCACCCUUCCCACGUCCUGCGCCUUGCUGAGGACACCCACACAGAACCGCAGUUCAGCAGAGCAUCAGCCCACGACACAAAACCCUUCCCUCCUGACGUUAGCUCACUGGUACUAAGGGUCUUCUUCCAUAUCAUCUGGGUUGGGAGCCAUAAUGAAGUGCUUUGGGUAUACAAGAUUGUGGGUGUAUGCAUGUAUUUCCCAGCGGGCGUCGUCACUUUCGUGUGUAAUGUAACGUUCACCGAUGCGAGUUUCAAAUUCUCGAAGGUCAAGCCAAGUCUGAUAGUCCUAGAAAAAAGGAAACAAUUAUAAAGUAUAAAAGAAAAUACCAAGAACUUUUUUCCUAGCCCCAUAGUUGCAAAAUUGACAAUUCCCAUUCAUAAGUACUUGCUCUCCAGUAAGUUCCAUUUGUAGUAUUUUAAAUUAACAAUAUUAAAGAUACUUUUUCAAA